AUUUUUGAGUGCCAGUAUCAGCCAAUCAGCGAGCAGUAUUUUCUGUUUAAUGCAGACAUGGCAACGUAAGCCACGCGAAAUGUCUGUCGUUGUUUAUUAAAACUUUAUCUGACUUUCAAGACUUCAAGAGCAUUUAAAUCAUAAUGCUGAGGCAGCUAAAGUCUGACAGUGAUCUGGAUAGAGGAGACGCUCCUGCACUAGCCGUAAUACGCGCCAAUGCGGAGCAAAAGGCUUUGAGAAAGGCUGUCGAGACACAAGAAGAAUUGCACAGAAUACGAGAACGUAUUUGCUGGACUCUGAGCGCCUAUGAAGUUGGGGAAGAGCUUACGACAAAAAUUUUGGAAGAAAAGAAAAAUUCCUUUGUAAAGGAGGAUGCAGAGCUUCAAUUUUUUGAUGAUAUAGCAACUCUUACUGUUAUCCUUUCUGAUCCUAUCGCAAAGCAAAAGUAUCAACAAAAAGUGACGAUAUUUGUGGUUGGAUAUGAGGACAUGUGUAGCGAGAGAAGCAAGCUGCUGAUACAACUUCAACAGUUUUUCAAGCAAAAUUCUGCUAGUGAUGAUGACUUCAUCAUGAACACUCCAGAAAUUGAUUUUGACGAAGUAGAAAACAAUGUCAGGGAAGCUUUGGACAAAGCUGAGAAAACAACGGAACGUUUAGCGAAUAUUUCUAAAGAUGUGUUAAAGGUGUUUGAAAUGGUGAAUCCAAAAGAUCAUAAAAAAGGAAAAAGAAAGUUGGAGAAAGCGUUAUUUCAAUCUCAACAAGAUGUUGUGCACCUCACUGAAAAACUCGUCGAAGUCCAAUCAGAUUUUGAAGAGACGAAAACAAAAUUAGCCACACUAACGCAGACAGUUGACUUGAAAGAGGCGGAACUCGACAGGAUAAAGACAGAGUUUAACGUCAAUAAGGGUUUUGAGAAAGAAUGUGAGAAUUACAAGAAAGCUUUACAAGCUAAGGACGAACAAUUAAAAACUUUGAAAGUACAAAUGGAAGAAACGGAGAUGUCGCUUUCACAAGCGGAAAGCAAGUACGACGAUUAUGUAGAGAUGUGUCGAAAUUUGAGAGAUGAAAAUCAGUAUUUGAGGGAUGAAACUGAAAGGAAAACUAACGAACAAGAAGAGAGGAUUACACAGAUCACGAAAGAUCUUCAAAAUAAAUAUGAAGCAGAAUUAAGCGAAUUGAAGACGAUGAAGAAUAAAGAGUUAAACCAACUGAAAGAUGCACACGAAGAAGAACUGCUUGGACUAAAAGGAAAACUUUCUUUUCAAAGGCGUUCAAUUACAACGUCGUCGACCAGAGAUGAUAGCAUACCCCUUGAAAGUCGAGGCUCGGCUACGUUCUCAACCACACAAUCUGAUGAUGCAUUGCAAGCGUUGAGUACAUGGAAAUCAUCUGCGAAAACCUCGCGAACAAUUGUAGAAAUAAGGACAUCAGAAACAUCACUUGAAAAAACGUACUCUUCCGACAUGAUUUCCGAAGAAAAAAGCUCUGCGAUGUCGGAAUUAGAAAGUAGAAAGAUGGCCGAUACAACAGAGCCCGCCACUCUUAAGACAGCGGAAACAAUAAAGACAAUUGAAAGAUCGUGUCAAACUGAUGACUUCAUAGAAAAUCUGGAUGAAAUGAAUGAACUGCAUAAAUUGAAAUCCAAAAAAGAUCUAUUGGAAAUCGAACGUGAUAUGGUCAAAACGCCGACAGAAGAGCUGCCCCAGAAAUUAGACGAAUAUAAAAGCAAGUUUUCUGAAGUUGAGCAGCAAUUACGAGAAGAGAUUUUACAAUGGAAACUUAGAUUCAACAACAAGUCUCUUGCCUUAGAUGAAUUAAGUAAAAAUCAGGAGGCCCAGUCAAAGGAAAACCAAAACUUGUUGGAACAACUGGCUCUAGCUCAAAACGAGAAGAUGGACGCUGAAAAUGAGGCAGAAAGAGCAAUUUUAGAACUUGAGGAAAUGAAGGCUGAGAAAGAUAGCAUUUCAGAUAUGACAGAUAUGAUAGAAGAAAAGGAUAACGUCAUUUCUACUGAGAGCAAGACAACUGUCGCAACAGAAAUUCUUGAUUGUUUGCAAACGGCCCAUGAUAACGAAAGAACCUCACUGGUAUCAGCCGACAUGCAAUGUGCUAGUACCCAGGUUUCUCGUAAACCCAGUGCCAGAAGCUCAGUGAACAGUGAUAUGUUAGACAUACGAGGUGUUGGUACCCAGGUCUCUCGCAGACCAAGUGCGAGAAGCUCACCGAACAGUGAUACGUUAGACAUACGAUGUGGUAGUACCCAGGUCUCUAGCAAGCCAAGCGCUAAAAGCUUAGCAAACAAUGAUACGACAGAUGAGCCGGAGAUCGUGGUGCUUGUGCAAGGAUUGGAUGUUCCGGAUAAUAAAUUUGAUAAUGAAAUGGACGCAAAUAAACUUACACUACCAACGCGCUCAAAUACGUCGACUGCGAGCAUUGGUCGAGUCCGCUCCAGACUUAUACGAACGGCAAUAAAAGAUCAUCGCGUCAUAGAGGAGACCGUGAAAACACACGAAAUGAUCUCGAAGUUUAAAGUGGACAUUGUCAUAUGGCUAGAACAACACGGCCUGGGGCAUAAGACCGAGUUGCUUAACUCAAUACCUGAUGUACCAUUAGAUAAGGGAGAUGAAAUCGACAUUUUAAAAAACAUAUCUUCUAUUCGAAACAUCACACAUCAGGUUCUCGAUGCUCUGUGGCAAAUAACCAAAGAUGAUUAUUCUUGGUCUCAUCAUAAACUGGUUGACGGCGAUGAAACACCAGAAGAAAUGGACGUUGGCCAUAAUCUUGGACAUCACGAUAGUGAAGUAGAAGCAGAGAUGGAUAUUGGUUAUGAUGAUCCCUAUACUGAAUUAGGAGCAGAAAAGGAUAUUGGUUAUGAUGAUCCCUCUGCUGAAGAAGGAGCAGAAAAGGAUGCUCAAGAUGGUCAGAGACCAUCCCUAGAGUCUCCCGAGAAAAUUUCAGAAAUCGAUGGUGCUUCCACUUCCGUUCAUCAAGAACCAAAUUUACAAGAUCGAUCGAUUCAGACUAUAUUCGUCCCUCGAGGGGCUCCCACAACACCCAAAGGUUACACGCGUCUUCUCCACGAAUAUAACAAUCUAAAUGAGGAGUACAAUAUGCUGACUCAGCAGCUGCAAGACAGCGUGAAAUCUUACCAAGAACAGAUCAGCCAGAACGCCACAGUCAUGAACGAAAUGCAGGAAACGAUCAAUAACCUCAAAACACAGCUGAUGGAAAAAUUCCAGGUCAUGGUGCAUCACUUCAGCCCGUGGUAUCUUCCAUGAUGUUUACGCGUUUGGACGCAGAACGAAACGUGAAAACGAUGAAGCGUGCAAUUUUGGCAAAACGACUCUCGCCAGACUCAUAUGAUACAGUUGUUCGUGAAAUGAGCUGUUAUGUCAGUUUACCUACGAGAAGGCUGGCUGAACUUAUAAAGAGAUACAGACACCAUUGCAUGAUGCGAGAUGUCGAAGACAAUCUAAAACCAGAGCAAAUGGCGA